rnacentral:rRNA from 1 species
AACGCAGCGAAGGGCGAUAAGUAAUGUGAAUUGCAGAAUUCCGCGAAUCAUCGAAUCUUUGAACGCACAUUGCGCCCUUUGGUAUUCCGAGGGGCAUGCCUGUUCGAGCGUCAUUUAUACCCUCAAGCUUAGCUUGGUGUUGGAGGCCGCCCCGGUGGGCGCCCCCAAAACUCAGCGGCGACGUAGCCGGACUCCCUGGCGUAGUGACACUUGCUGUCGCCCCGGAGUGGUCGGUCGUGCGUCAGCCGGACAACGCCCCAUUUUUAAAAUCGACCUCGGAUCAGGUAGGACUACCCGCUGAACUUAA